UACAGAGGGUGCGAGCGUUAAUCGGAAUUACUGGGCGUAAAGCGUGUGUAGGUGGUUGUAUAAGUUAGAUGUGAAAGCCCCGGGCUUAACCUGGGAAUUGCGUUUAAGACUGUAUAACUAGAGUACUGUAGAGGAUAGUGGAAUUUCCAGUGUAGCGGUGAAAUGCGUAGAUAUUGGAAGGAACACCAGUGGCGAAGGCGACUAUCUGGAUAGAUACUGACACUGAGACACGAAAGCGUGGGGAGCAAACAGG
rnacentral:rRNA from 1 species